rnacentral:rRNA from 1 species
GGAGUUAGCCGGUGCUUCUUCUGCGAGUAACGUCACAGAUGUAAGGUAUUAACUUACACCCUUUCCUCCUCGCUGAAAGUGCUUUACAACCCGAAGGCCUUCUUCACACACGCGGCAUGGCUGCAUCAGGGUUUCCCCCAUUGUGCAAUAUUCCCCACUGCUGCCUCCCGUAGGAGUCUGGGCCGUGUCUCAGUCCCAGUGUGGCUGAUCAUCCUCUCAGACCAGCUAGGGAUCGUCGCCUAGGUGAGCCUUUACCUCACCUACUAGCUAAUCCCACCUGGGCUUAUCCAUCAGCGCAAGGCCCGAAGGUCCCCUGCUUUCCCCCGUAGGGCGUAUGCGGUAUUAGCAGUCGUUUCCAACUGUUAUCCCCCACAAAUGGGCAAAUUCCCAGGCAUUACUCACCCGUCCGCCGCUCGUCAUCUUCAAAAGCAAGCUUUUGAAACUGUUACCGCUCGACUUGCAUGUGUUAGGCCUGCCGCCAGCGUUCAAUCUAAGCCAGAAUCGAACCCUGA